ACCUUGCACUCUGACUUUGCCUCUGUCCUUAUUCAAGCUUUAAUCUUAAUCUGAAAAUUUUAUCAUGAUAUAGCAAGGGUGAGCAACAAAUUUGCCCAGCAAGUUUUACAUACAAUAAAGAUAUAUAUCAUGAUUGAAAAGAAUGAAUAAGCUUUCAAGUUUUCAACAAUAUAAUAAUUGUGAAAUAACAUGAAUCAAGUUUCAAUGAUUGAAUGACUGAACCAAUAAUAUUGGAUGUCAACAAUUAACAUGAACAAGUUUAACUGAAACCUAUGGUAAUGAAGGUGAUCAGCCAUUCAUACCUGAUGAACAUAUGCAACAUGCACUAAGUGCGAAUCAAUAAUCAAUAUAGACGUGAAUAAUCAUCAAUAAUCAUUCACUAACAUUCUUUGUAAUAUAACUUGAGUUUGAGUUAAGGAAACUUGCACAAUAA
rnacentral:lncRNA from 1 species